rnacentral:rRNA from 1 species
AAUGGGUCAGCGACUUAUAUUCUGUAGCAAGGUUAACCGAAUAGGGGAGCCGAAGGGAAACCGAGUCUUAACUGGGCGUUAAGUUGCAGGGUAUAGACCCGAAACCCGGUGAUCUAGCCAUGGGCAGGUUGAAGGUUGGGUAACACUAACUGGAGGACCGAACCGACUAAUGUUGAAAAAUUAGCGGAUGACUUGUGGCUGGGGGUGAAAGGCCAAUCAAACCGGGAGAUAGCUGGUUCUCCCCGAAAGCUAUUUAGGUAGCGCCUCGUGAAUUCAUCUCCGGGGGUAGAGCACUGUUUCGGCAAGGGGGUCAUCCCGACUUACCAACCCGAUGCAAACUGCGAAUACCGGAGAAUGUUAUCACGGGAGACACACGGCGGGUGCUAACGUCCGUCGUGAAGAGGGAAACAACCCAGACCGCCAGCUAAGGUCCCAAAGUCAUGGUUAAGUGGGAAACGAUGUGGGAAGGCCCAGACAGCCAGGAUGUUGGCUUAGAAGCAGCCAUCAUUUAAAGAAAGCGUAAUAGCUCACUGGUCGAGUCGGCCUGCGCGGAAGAUGUAACGGGGCUAAACCAUGCACCGAAGCUGCGGCAGCGACGCUUAUGCGUUGUUGGGUAGGGGAGCGUUCUGUAAGCCUGUGAAGGUGUGCUGUGAGGCAUGCUGGAGGUAUCAGAAGUGCGAAUGCUGACAUAAGUAACGAUAAAGCGGGUGAAAAGCCCGCUCGCCGGAAGACCAAGGGUUCCUGUCCAACGUUAAUCGGGGC